AGUGAACGCUGGCGGUAGGCCUAACACAUGCAAGUCGAACGGCAGCACAGUAAGAGCUUGCUCUUACGGGUGGCGAGUGGCGGACGGGUGAGGAAUACAUCGGAAUCUACUUUUUCGUGGGGGAUAACGUAGGAAAACUUACGCUAAUACCGCAUACGACCUACGGGUGAAAGCAGGGGAUCUUCGGACCUUGCGCGAUUGAAUGAGCCGAUGUCGGAUUAGCUAGUUGGCGGGGUAAAGGCCCACCAAGGCGACGAUCCGUAGCUGGUCUGAGAGGAUGAUCAGCCACACUGGAACUGAGACACGGUCCAGACUCCUACGGGAGGCAGCAGUGGGGAAUAUUGGACAAUGGGCGCAGGCCUGAUCCAGCCAUACCGCGUGGGUGAAGAAGGCCUUCGGGUUGUAAAGCCCUUUUGUUGGGAAAGAAAAGCAGCAGGUUAAUACCCCGCUGUUCUGACGGUACCCAAAGAAUAAGCACCGGCUAACUUCGUG
rnacentral:rRNA from 1 species